GACGCUGAAGCGGUGGAGUGUUCGUCCUCGAACAGUACGAUCCACUUACAAAGCAAGUGACUGAGAGAAAGUUCCGCUCUGGCAUGGCUGACCACAUCUGCUACUCGAUCCUGUGCAUCUUCUCCUACGUUGCCGCGGGAACCGACCGGCAGAAGCAAGAGGAGGCUAUACGGAGCAAGGAGGCGCUGCAGGCGCGCAUUGCAGCGGGCACACGGCCAAAGUACCCGCAGUACUAGACGUAGUCGUCGCCACCC